GAUGAAGAACGUAGCGAAAUGCGAUACUUGGUGUGAAUUGCAGAAUCCCGUGAACCAUCGAGUCUUUGAACGCAAGUUGCGCCCGAAGCCAUUAGGCCGAGGGCACGCCUGCCUGGGCGUCACACGUCGUUGCCCCCCCAUCUACUCCUUCGGGAUUGCGGGGGGCGGAUGAUGGCCUCCCGUGCGCCUCGUCGCGCGGUUGGCAUAAAUGCCAAGUCCUCGGCGACGCACGCCACGACAAUCGGUGGUUGCGAAACCUCGGUUGCCCGUCGUGUGCGGUCGUCGCGCAUCGAGGGCUCGAAAAAAUUGCCGGGCUCCGGCUCGGCUUUCAACGCGACCCCAGGUCAGGCGGGGUUACCCGCUGAAUUUAAGCAUAUCAAUAAGCGGAUGA
rnacentral:misc_RNA from 1 species